GGAAGAAUGGUCGAGUGGUUUAAGGCAGCGGUCUUGAAAACCGCCGAGGGGCAACUCUCCGAGGGUUCGAAUCCCUCUUCUUCCGCCA
rnacentral:tRNA from 1 species